rnacentral:rRNA from 1 species
UACGUAGGGUGCAAGCGUUAAUCGGAAUUACUGGGCGUAAAGCGUGCACAGGCGGUUAUGCAAGACAGAGGUGAAAUCCCCGGGCUCAACCUGGGAACUGCCUUUGUGACUGCAUAGCUAGAGUACGGUAGAGGGGGAUGGAAUUCCGCGUGUAGCAGUGAAAUGCGUAGAUAUGCGGAGGAACACCGAUGGCGAAGGCAAUCCCCUGGACCUGUACUGACGCUCAUGCACGAAAGCGUGGGGAGCAAACAGG